AACGCGAAGAACCUUACCUGGGCUUGAACCGCUGGUGACUAACGGUAGAAAUAUCGUCUUCUCGCAAGAGACACCAGUAGAGGUGGUGCAUGGCUGUCGUCAGCUCGUGUCGUGAGAUGUUGGGUUAAGUCCCGCAACGAGCGCAACCCUUGUCCUAUGUUGCCAGCGGGUAAUGCCGGGGACUCGUAGGAGACUGCCGGGGUCAACUCGGAGGAAGGUGGGGACGACGUCAAGUCAUCAUGCCCCUUACGUCCAGGGCUGCACACAUGCUACAAUGGCCGGUACAAAGGGCUGCUAUCCCGCGAGGGUGAGCGAAUCCCAAAAAGCCGGUCUCAGUUCGGAUCGCAGUCUGCAACUCGACUGCGUGAAGUCGGAGUCGCUAGUAAUCCCGGAUCAGCAACGCCGGGGUGAAUACGUUCCCGGGCCUUGUACACACCGCUAGUC
rnacentral:rRNA from 1 species